GCUGAGUUCCCAUAGUGGUCGAUUGGAGCGGUUUUGUAAGCCGCAGACUUCGUGUCCGCAUCAGUUCGAAUCUGAUACUCAGCUCCA
rnacentral:tRNA from 1 species